GGGGUUGUGGCUCAGCGGUAGAGGUCGCUUAGUAUGUGCGAGGUCCUGGGUUUGAUCCUCAGCACCACA
rnacentral:tRNA from 1 species